GCAGUACAGGGUGGUGAUGGCUAUGGGGAAAAAGCUAUUUCUCAGACUAUUCGUUCUUGCUUUCAGACAUCUGUAGUGCCUGCCAGAGGGCAACAGCUCAAACAGCUGAGAACCAGGAUGUGAAGUGUCUGGAGUGAUGUUACAGGCUCUGCUGAGACACCAGGAGGUGUAGAUGUCCAUCAUGGACGGGAGAGAACAGCCAACAAUCCUCUGUGCUGCUCUGACUGUUCUCUGAAGCCUUGUUCUGUCAGCCUAAGUGCCGCUCCUGUACCAGGUGGAGAUGCAGUACGUCAGCAAGCUCUCGAUGGCAGAGCGGUAGAAGGCCAGCAGCAGCUUACUGUCCAAGUUGUUCCUCCUGACGACUCUCAGGUGGUGUAGACGCUGCUGAGCCUUCUUGAUGACAGCCAUGAUGUUGUGUGUCCAGGAGAGGUCAUCGGAGAUCUGGACUCCCAGGAACCUGAAUGUGUGGACUCUUUCCACAUACUCGCCAUUGAUGGAGAGGGGGGGCGGCUCAGUUCUGUUCCUCCUGAAAUCCACAAUGAUCUCCUUCGUUUUGGCAGUGUUCAGUGUCAGGUUGUUGUCUGAGCACCAGGUCGAGAGUCUCUGCACCUCCUCUCUGUAAGCUGACUCAUCUCCUCUUGAAAUCAGUCCAACCACGGUAGUGUCAUCUGCGACGAUAAGGUUGUUUUCGUGGCUUGGGCUGCAGUUGGAGGUGUAGAGGCAGUACAGGAGGGGGCUCGGCACACAGCCCCGGGGUGACCCGGUGCUCAGCGUGCGGGUGGGGGAGAGGUGGGGGCCAAGUCUCACCGUCUGGGGUCUGUUGGUCAGAAAGUCCUUAAUUCACGAGCAGGUGGGAGGGGGGAGGCCCAGGGUGACCAGUUUGGUGAUGAGGAUGUCCAGAAUGAUGGUGUUGAAUGCCGAACUAUAAUCCACAAAGAGCAUCCUGGCAUAGCUCUGCUGUUGUUCCAGGUGUCUCAGCACAGCGUGCAGAGCUAUGGCGAUGGCGUCCUCUGUUGAUCUGUUAGCGCGGUAAGCAAACUGGUGGGGGUUUAGUGUCGGGGGGAGACAGUCCUUGAUGUGCAUGAGAACCAGCCUGUCAAAGCACUUCAUGAUUAUAGGUGUGAGGGCAACAGGGCGGUAGUCAUUUGGGCUGGUUGUAGGUGACUUCUUUGGCACUGGGUUUAUUUUGGCAGUCUUCAGGCUGGUGGGGAUGGCUGCUUGGGCCAGGGAGAGGUUGAAAAUCUUGCAGAAAACACAUGACAGCUGGUGUGCACAUGCUCUGAGCACCUUGCCUGGCACUUUGUCUGGGUCAGCAGCCUUCCUGGGGUUUACUGCCAGUAGCACACGCCUCACAUCAUGCUCCUCUGUGGUGAACACUGGGGUGGUGAGCGCUGGGGUGGUGGAUCCUGACAAGGGUGAUGGCUGGGCUGGAGCAGAGGAGUGGUGCUGCGUUGAGUCAAAGCGGGCAAAGAGUUCCUCUGCUAGUGCCGCACUCAGGUCUCCUGGUGAAGCAUCACAGCCUCUGUAGUUGGUGAUGCUUUGAGGACCCUUCCACAUCUCCCGUGGUCUGUUGCUGGUGAGGUGGGACUCUAUCUUCUUGUUGUAGUCCUCUUUGGCAUUUUUAACACCUCUCCUCAGGUCAGCUGGAGCCGCACUGUGGAGAGCCCUGUCACCUGACCUGAAGGCAGCGUCACGGGCCUUGAGGAGGGAACGGACCUGGCCGGUCAUCCAUGGUUUACUGUUGGGAUACAUCCGGAUGCGUUUAUCCACAGUCUCUAUAACCACACUGUUGUUACACCAGUCCUCAUGGAUGUAGAUACAGAGCCCACCACCUCUGCUUUUACCUGACUUCUCAGUCCGAUUGCAGCAGUGCAGGGAGCGGCCCACUAACUGCAUGCCAGGGCCAGGGAUUCUCGAAUUCAGCCAACUCUCCGUAAUAAUGUGAACACAACAGUCCCGAACCGUGCGAAUUCCUGCGAGCUGUAGUUUCAGGUCGUCCAUUUUAUAUGUGAUGGAUCUGGCGUUGGUGAGGUACAGGCUCGGCAGAGGUGGUUUCUGUGGGUUGUUCCUUAGCUUCAGCCGGAGGCCGGCUCUGCAGCCUCACUUCUGCCUCCUCUUCCUUCUCUGCCUUCGCCGCUUGCCAGGCCUGACAACAAUCCACGGAGCAUCCGGUGGUUAGUUUGUCUGGGAUGUUGUGGAUGGAUUGAAAGUCCCUUGAAACUGUUGUUUUUUGUCGGUAUCCUAUAUCUACAAGAUCCUGGCGGGUGUAGCAGUAGUUUGCUGAGCAGUGGUUUGCCGAGGCAAAUGUACUUAAAGCACACAAACAAACAAAGAUAGACAAAAAUGAGCGCUGAAAGGGAGAGGUGUAAGCCGCUGCUAGGUGCACGCCGCCAUCUUGGCCAAAAUGGGCCUGAUCCACUAAAGGUCUGUGUGUGUAAAAACAUGUGCAAACUUGAAAGAGCAUGCAAACCUGAUCUGCACCGAGGAUUGCGCCUGUCAAAUGCGCAACCACAGUGUGAUCAAACCCAGAAGCCGAUUGCGGUCGCUGUUUCGCAUCUAUAUUUAACACGUUUGAAAGGCACGUGCAAACUGGAGCAGCAUUGCGCACCGUCAUUGUGGAGAGAAGGAUGCAGAAGUGCCAUGAUACAUGCCAUGAUCUUUGUCCAAAGCUUGUGAUUUAUUUCGUAUUUCUGGUAAAUGACAAUUUUCAUAAAUAAGGGCAAACACGAAACGGACGAAAAAAUUUAUCUGUUUGUGUUAUCAUUUUAAAUUGUUUUAAUCCCUGUUUUGAUUUCUAGUAUAUGUUCUUGUAUCUGUAAAGCACUUUGAAUUGCCUUGUGUAUGAAUUGUGCAAUACAAAUAAACUUGCCUUGCCUUUUAUGCAGUUCCCUAAAACGAUAUGUACAACUCCAUGGUUUCAAACUCUGCUCUCACAAACUGCCCAUGGUGACAGCCGAUAGAGUGCGCAAAAUCCUGGUUUAAAGAGGGCGAACCACUUUUGCUCCCACUAUCACUUGUCCAUGCAAUGAUAGUAGAUCACCCGCAACACGCCCACUAAUAGCAGGUGCAAUUUUUCAGUUUGCACAUGCAAUUUAGCGAUGCUAUUUGGGAUCUUAGUAGAUCAGGCCCUAUGUGUAUUUUCACCUGUUGCAGACACAACACAAUAUGUAGUUUGAUCAGCUUUGAGGUUUAGUUUUGUGUAAGAUUCUACACACAGGGUUUAAAGCACUAGUGAGGAACUGCAGGUUUAGAUCUGUUUCAGCAGCCCCUUUGCACACUGUUUGUCUGAUGCACCAUCUGUCAAUAGGCAACAGCUUCUGGUCCCCACUAGUUAAAACUUGAUUAUACCAGGAUACCUUUUUUCUUCAGUACAUCACAUCAGAGGAAUACAUUUAUGCCAUCACACUAUUCUGUAAUUGAGUUACAUGUAAAAUAAAUAAAUGAUUUGUAAAGGUGCAAUUAAAGCAACAUUAAUGAAUAUAGACUGUAUAUAGAAUGGAUGCUGUCUGCCUCCUUGCUGGGUGACGCCACCCUAAGAAGAGCACCCUCUAGUGACGGCUGCAGUAUAAAUCUCACCUACUCCAGCAAUCCCCAUGGAGCUGUGGACAAACUUUAAAAAUUAAUAACACAAAAUAUAAUUUUUUCUCCCUCCUGGUUGCAAUGUUGACAUGUAGUUACUGUAAGACUAGUUUGUGCUCAAGUCCUCUUUUUUCUGUACAGCUCCGUUUUUAAAAGUUAUUAGGCGGUUCAUGAUUUCUAUGAUUGACCCUUGAUACGGGUUUAUGCAGGUGGAGAUCUGUUCAGACUCUGAACGAACGAGAGCCUCUUAGCUCCCUUUGUGACAAUAACAUCAAGUAUUUCCAACAGAUACGUCUUUGCUGACAUUCAAAACACAGAGAGAUCUAAGGAUACAUAUUCAACAGCUGUGCAACCUGGGACAAUCUCAUGCGCAUUUUUUCUAAAGUCUCCAGGUAACAGGGUCACUUUUUACACCGAAACACCGGCAUGUUGAGCUAGACUAGCACAUUACGCAUUGGUACUAAUUCAAAUGGUGGCUGAAUACAGAUGUGUCUGUACACAGACACUGAACAGCAUUGGGAUAUUUUGCUGGAGAAGCGCAUCCGGCUGCCUCAUGCAACCCCCCGUACUCUUAUCAACCGCUGUUUGUUAGCUUAGCAUUCUAAAGCUUCUGCUAGUGAGUCUCUGCCUCUG
rnacentral:lncRNA from 1 species